CUUCAAUAGAACCAUAGUAACCGGGUUAUAAAAUCAAAAUAAACAUUGUCGCAAUUAUUGCCACCUCACGUCCGUGUUGUAUGUUUUCGUAAAAAUCAGGUGCAUCAUGAAGAAUUUAAAUCCAUAUGCAGACGAAAGUCCCGUCUAGCCGUGUCCUUCGAAAGGUUCCCCACAGUGACGGUAUUUCAAUGGAUGGCGUCGAAUAUAAGAAGUUUAAAAUGCCUCUUGUCCCCACGGAUUUUUACAUUCUAACAGAGAGGAAAAAUAAGAAGUAAAUCAUCGAUAAAGGAUUCUGAUAAGCAGUUUAACUGAUUUGCCCGCAGCCGAUCACAAAAGCUUGUGGAUCGUUCAAGGAUGAAAAAGGGUACAGGUUUUGUACACCAUAAUGUGAUUAAUUUUGCUGCAAAUAAAUAUUGUGAUGCACAGA